UAUUUACAGUUGUGAUUCGAAUAAAUACGAGUAAAGUCAUUAAUUGACCGAGUAGUCGUUUUUUUUAAAAAAAAUCUUCUCCUGUCUGCUAUGUUGGUUGAAUGCAUAAUCUAUAAGACAUAAACGGCUAUGAUAAAUAUCCAUUAUCGAAUAGAAGCGGUCACCUGAUUAGCGCGUGACGUGUGGGUAACAUAGAGUCAGAGAAAACGGCGUCGCAACGCUAAGUUGGAGUAUAUGAUCCCUGCAUGACUUUUACGGAUCUGUUGGGCAAGCCCGCAACUUUAAAAAAUAGUUUGUAAGAGUAGAGCGCGAUGGAGUACCAACUCCCUACGCUGCUUGUAAUACGUGCAAAGUCAUAGUCAAAUAUGCACCUGACUCGGGGACGAUUGGCGUGCAGAAACACACUUGUAGCAGCAGAUCGCUUGGUAAACGAGUGCAGCCAAAAUAACUGGUUUUGUGAAGUGAGAAGUUCCAGAAAUUAUGAAGAUCAGGCUCAGGAACACGAUGGCUCGCAUGUGGGUGCAAGAUUUGAGACCUUUUGUUUUUAUAGAAGCACAAGGAUUCAUCGACAUGGCGAAGGAGUUGCUUCACAUCGCUGCGACUUAUGGGACCAGCAUUGAGAUCAAUGGGGUCUUAGCGAGUGCACAGAGUGUUUCUCGCCAUCCAGAGAAGGAUUAUGAAAAAAUAAACAAAUUUGUAAUAGAACGGCUCCAACAGGUUUGCCCUCUGGAAAGCCCUACAACUGCGAUAUAUUUAAGGAAGAGCAUAUCUCUGAUACCCUUUGCGUGUUUCUUGCUUGGAUCUUCCCAAAGAAUGAAAAGGGAGGUCCGCCGUGGGAUUCACCCCAAUCCUCCCAAAGGAUGACUCAGUAUUAUAUACAGAGGCUGGGGACAGCAGCCCCCCCCCCCAUGGAACCGCGAUGGACCAUGUGUGGGAGAUGGGAGGGGGGACAGUGCGGCUGCACAGUAGAGUGGUACACAGACUAAUGUCAGGCACGUGUUUCUGUUUAAUAAAGUAUAAGAAAUUAAGUUUCAGACAUAAUUGUUCCAUAUAAAUCUGAAUGUAAACCCCACAACACAAACAACUUAGGAAUAAGAUACCAUUACUAUAUUAAGAUUCAACAUUUCAACACAAAUACUUUUACUGUCACUGUUUGGAUCCCCAGCUUUGUGUGCAUUUUUGAAUGUUAUAAAAAGAAAAUAACUAAUUAAAUAAAUUAUCAAACUACCUACAUAUAUUUUCUGUCGUUCUGCUGAU